UCUGAAACUCACUAUCAAAAGAGAGGAAACUAUAGCCUCCCUUCAGGUGAUAUCAUUCUACACAGCAGCAUCUUCUCUACCAAGUCCAAGUGUUAUAUUUGUGAAGGAGGAUUUUGCAAAGGAACUCACAAGAUCUUAGAAAUUUUUUUUGAUCUUAGAGACCAGUCCAACUCUUUAUUUUAUAAAUGAGAAAACCGUGAUACUCUAAGUACAGAAACCUGAGCCAUAGCAACUUCAUGAUUUUCAAAGCAAGAGUGUAGAUUCUGAGUUAACAGACAGGUGGGGUUGUCUACAUGGGGUUGUGAUAGUCAGAGCAGGGAAAUAGAAAUCAUGGGUGAGGGCCAGCACGUAUUGUGGAGUCUGUGCCUCGCUGCCACCUUCUCAAUUCCUUCUGAAUCUCUGUCCCUUGAGGUCUCAUCAUCCCCCUACAUUCCACUAUUCCUACAGAAAUCAGAGAAGGCUGUGCGAUCCUAGGCUUGGCAAGAGGAGGCAGGCAAUAGAACAUGAACUUUAUGGCAGCGUCUUACUGUUCACAGACUACAUUCAUGACAGAUUGGGACUAUGUCACAUAAGAGAGCAGGAGACACCGUAUUUAGUGCAGACUGUGGAUUUUGAAUUGAGAGCCUCAGAGUCUUGGUACUGGAUAUUGGUCCCCCAGUGCAAAUGGAAACCCCAGUGUGGGAAUAAAGGCAGAAAGGGGUUUAUCAAAGUUAGAAGGAGUCAACGCUUAUUGGUUCGCUUGGAUUUCAGAGACAGGCAGCACUCUAAGAUUCCAUCCGUGGUUACAUCAGACUGAAAGAAUAGAGGUGUACAAGUGCAGCUGGGGAUGUUGAGCCAGGAACUGAUAGUUUUAAAAAGAAUCUCUUAACAGUGCAUUGUAAAUAGCAGUCUACACCUAACAUCCAUGGUGUUCUUAAUAAAGUUUUAGUUAGAUUCCAACAGUCAAAGAAUCAAAGACUUCUCACAAUCAUCUGGUUUGAUACUGUGUGUUAACAGUAGUCAGUCCAAUAUUGUGACAAAGACAUGAUCUAUGCUGUUGGCCAAAGCCAAAGUGAAUGCAAAACAAAAAUUAGUGUCCAUAUUUUUCAAACUGUAAUCAACACAUCAAUAAUUAUAUCGAGGGAGGCACCUCUGAACAGCUGAGUAGAAAAAUGGAAGUCUUUGGUUUUGAGUCCUGCUGAUAAAUAUCAUAAUUUGACUGCUGGUUUUUUUUUUCACCUACCUUUUAGUUGAUCCUAAAUAUGGCUUUAACUCAUGUACUGUAUUGCUUAUAAAUAUUGUGAAAACCCUAAAAUUAUCAGUUGAUGUACUCACAGCUCUUGAGGUUUCGUUUCUUACAUUUUAUAUCUUAUUAUAACCCCUUGAACUCAUUCAUUGAAAAAGAUAUUUUUCGUAGUUAUGGUGAUUAUGAUUAAAAUAUGCCAUUGUAAUCAGUAUUCUGGAAUCACAGGAAGAAUAUCAAAAAGGAGAGAGUUACAAAGGCAAGAGCUAGGUUCUAGGCCUGACUCUGGCAUCAGCUCUUGAUUUUGGGCAAGUCUCUUUCUCUGAGCCUCAGAUCUCUCCUCUGAAAAAAUCAAUGGGCUGAGUAACAGAGAGUUAGCAAGUCACAGAUCUCUACAGGGUCCAGGUUGGCUCAGUGUGUAAUAGAAGCAUGCAGGCUAGAUUGACACUGGUAUGCUAGGUCUAAAGGGAAUAGAGUGACUGAGCCUCAGAUGUUACUCCUGCCUCUUAGUACUUAAAAGGACUGGAUGUUUAUAUAUGGAAUUUCAAUAUUUUAAAAGUUUACAGUUAACACAUGCAAAAAAAAUCUUGUAUGAGGUCAAGAAACUGUGAACUGAAGUUUGGCACUUACCAUCAGCCUCUACAUGGAGUAAAACAUGAGCCACUGCAGCUGCUGACCCACAGAACCCCCUGAGUGGAGCUCAGGGUGGAGACCAGGAGUGAGGCACUCUGUGCUCUGGGAAAACUGGAAGAGCGGGCCUUCAGAUAGUCAGAUAUUUUCAGGAGAAGAUUUUUCUUGAGCCCACUUCUUGCAUCUCCUCAUAUAUAGUAAAACACAAAAAUCCAUCAAUGAUGACUGAUAUCUGUGACCAGUAGUACCUUCAUGAGAGCUGCAGAAAACUUCUAUAAAAUGUUUGCAUGGCUGCAAGCACCCCCCCCAAUAUCUUGAUAUUUCCCCUUUCCUCUUUGGGCUGCCAAAAUAAAUACUAAAUACUGCCCUCUGAGCUGAAGUUAGUGGGCAAAACAGAAGAUGUCAUGGUCACCUGCAAGAACAGCCACUCCCAAGGGUGGGCCAGUGAUCCGUGAGGGAACUCAGGAAAGCAUAUCGAAGGAGUGAUUCCAGUAAGCCCAGAUCUUUAUCACAUCUGUUCCCAUAGAAAUGGUUUUCUGGGUACAUCUUUGUAAAUCUGGUUAUCUGUAAAUCUUUUGUUCCUACAACCUCUGCAUGGUUGCAAAAACUCAUAUAUCCUAGCUUCCCUCCUCACCUCCUCUGAAUGGUUUCUCAGGGUUACCUGAGAUGUUGUCUCCUGGGCUCAAGUCCUAAUUUCAUCCCAAAUAAAACUUAACUCUCAACUUUCAGGUUGUAUUUUUUUUUUUUAAUCAGUAAAACCGUAUCUGAGUUUGGCCUGUGAACUGACUUUUUUUUGACCUUUGGAUAAAGAGCAUUUAAAAUUCUUUCAACUUGUCAAAUGUCAUGAAGGAAAAACAGAUCAUGUUGUCUUUCAAGUGCCAUGAUGCCUACUUUUGUUGUAGACAAUGGUGGUGUGGAGACUAAAAAGAGUGGUUAGUGGUCUCCCGAGGAAAACUUGGCUGUUUCCAUUGGUUGGCCCUUUGAUCCAUCCUCCUCCUUGUGUUUUUGCCUCCUGUCUGGGUCUGUAACGCUCAUCCUCCCUAUAGGGUCUACUCAGAAGGUGGUCUUACAGGGACAGGUGAACCAUGUGGUCUAGCAAGAAUUUCUUUAGCUGUCCACUUACUGAGUCUUCUUUUUAUAAGGGACGUAAGACCAUUUUCAACAAGUUGGAAUACUCAAAAGACUGUAACAGUAUAAUGGAUGAAUUAGGAACAAAUAAAGUAGUUUUUCAAACCUAGGUUGUUUUUUCAGUUUAAUAAGCAGAAUUGAGUCUGCGACAUUCUACAGUAAGCAUUGUUUAAUCAUUAACACCAGGUUUCAUGCAAAUUGCCUAUAAUGCUGUGUGGAGCUGAGUGAAUUAAUUAUAUACGGAGAGGAAGUUCUAAAUAGCUGGGAAGAAACUUUCAAGUUCUCGGUUCCCUUUUGGGUCCUGCUUCCCAAGUAAUACCAUAAUUUAGCUGGUACAAUUUUUUCCCUACUUGGAUGGCACCUUAAACUUUACUGCCUCAAAGCCCCGCAGGAUAAACUCCAUUGAUUCUCUUGAAUGCAGGCUGACAGCGGAUUUCGAGGUCAUCAACUGGUAACACUGAAGUUGGAACAUAUGUCUUUUGUUAGCAUGAGAAUUCUGCAGGCACUGAAUAUUGUCUAAAUAAGCACAUAUGUGCUUUUAGAGCAUGUCAUUCAUGUCUUUAUCUUGGGCAAACAGAUGAACUGCACCCAUUCUUAACCCAAUUCUUCCAUUACUGCUGUCAUCAGAAUCUCUGGAAAGAAGUGAUUUUAACUGUCUCAGUCUUUAAAAUCACCUCUGAACUUUGAAAGAAUUUUCUUCUUUAGGCUACCUUUCCCCAUUCCAUGUUAUAUAAUACUGCAAGUGAAACAGUUUGGCACAUUGGUGGCAAAGUGGUGAUUUGUUGUACUGAAUGACAUUUAGUUUAAGACAUAUACAGGGAGUUCCUGUCAUAGCUCAGUGGUAACAAAACUGACUAGUAUCCAUAAGGAUGCAUGUUCGAUCCCUGGCCUUGCUCAGUGGGUUAAGGAUCAGGUGUUGCUGCAUGCUGUGGUACAGGUUGCAUAUGUCGCUUGGAUCCCACUUUGCUGUGGUUGUAGUAUAGGCUGGCAGCUACACUAGUUCCAAUUUGACCCCUAGCCUGGGAACUUCCAUAUGCCACAGGUGUGUCCCCCCAAAAGGAUAGCAACAUCAACAACAAAAAGACACAAACAUACACACAAUUUUGAGGUAGAAAGGGAGAGAAGAGAAAAAGCUUGGCUCACAGCAGGCUUUGUGUCUAAGCUGAAUAACAUCCAACCCUGCUGAGGUCUCUUAUCUUAAUGACUUUGCUAAGGAAGUUAUUAAAAAAAAAAAAAAAAAAAAGCUCAGUGAUAAGGAGCAAGCUUGAAAGAGUUAAAUAUAAAAAAUAGAAAAUUUCAUAGGAUUCUGAGAUUAGUCCUCAAAGGGUCAGUAGAUAUAUUUCUCUGGUUUUAAGGAGAAGCCUCCUGAAAAUGUCUAUUUAGAGGAAGAGCCCUUUUCAAAAGACAGAGAUUCAUGGAAGGAAAGCCAUGUUUCCAUAGUGAGUUAGGUUAUCUUUUUAAAAACACUCGCCAAUUAGAAAAGUAUUAUGUACAUUUUCAUAACUCUGUUUGUAAGACUCUGGUGGAGUUUGAGAAUAUAUAGACAUAGUUCAUAUAUAUCCUAGUGUUGCCAAAACCCAGCUUCUGUCCACCAGUGCCAAACAGAAAUAUGGCGACAGAGUUUUUGCUGAAGGAGAGAAAAAUAGCUUUAUUGCUUUGCCAGGCAAAGGAGGCCACAGCAGACUCAUGCCCCAAAGUCUGUGCCCUCCUUGGGGGAGAAUAGGAAGUGGUUUUAUAGUUUGGAAGCAGAAAAUAGGGCCACAGAUUAGGAUCAGCGUAGAUGGAAGCUUUCUUUCGCCUUCAGAGUUGGUGUUUAGAGGCCCCAGGACUGGUUCUAGGGCUCCUGCUCUCUGGGUUUCAUGUGUUGGAGGUUUUAGUUCUGCAGAAGAACUCAAAGAUAUUAUUAAUGUAUUUUGCUUGAAGAGGAACCAGGACCCUGCCCCAAGGCUGCACAUUUGUCUCUCCACUCUCCUCCCUGGUCUCUGCAUCCCUUCCCUUUCCUGAUUAGCAACAGUUUGAACCUGCCCUUUGGAACACAGGAAAGGUCAUGGAGGCUCAAGCUUAUUUUCUAAAAAUAAGAAAUGGGAGAUAUAGAAAGGUUUGUGCACAGGAGCCCCACAGAGCCAUUCUGGGUUUCACUAGGACUCUAUUGGCCACUGGGGCUGUCAUCAUUUGAUGGUCAUAUCUUUGCCAGACAGUGAUGUCAUGUGCUUGAUGAGGCACUAGUUUAGUUUUCCUUUGGUCAUGUCAUUAUAAU
rnacentral:lncRNA from 1 species